rnacentral:rRNA from 1 species
GUUUGAUCAUGGCUCAGAUUGAACGCUGGCGGAAUGCUUUACACAUGCAAGUCGAACGGCAGCACGGGGGCAACCCUGGUGGCGAGUGGCGAACGGGUGAGUAAUACAUCGGAACGUGCCCAGUCGUGGGGGAUAACGCAGCGAAAGCUGUGCUAAUACCGCAUACGAUCUAUGGAUGAAAGCGGGGGACCGAAAGGCCUCGCGCGAUUGGAGCGGCCGAUGGCAGAUUAGGUAGUUGGUGGGGUAAAGGCUCACCAAGCCGACGAUCUGUAGCUGGUCUGAGAGGACGACCAGCCACACUGGGACUGAGACACGGCCCAGACUCCUACGGGAGGCAGCAGUGGGGAAUUUUGGACAAUGGGCGCAAGCCUGAUCCAGCCAUUCCGCGUGCAGGAUGAAGGCCCUCGGGUUGUAAACUGCUUUUGUACGGAACGAAAAGGCUUCUUCUAAUACAGGGGGCUCAUGACGGUACCGUAAGAAUAAGCACCGGCUAACUACGUGCCAGCAGCCGCGGUAAUAU